rnacentral:lncRNA from 1 species
UAUACUAUAUCUUGUCUUGUGAAACCUCAAACAACUGUUUAGUGUACAACUUAACUUUUCUCCCCUUCCAUAGAAAGGCAAAUUAUUCUAUUUUAUUUUUUGAAAGUUUAUUUAUUUUGAGAGAGAGAUAGAGCACAUGAGCAGGAAAAAGACAAAGAGGGAGAUAGAAUCCCAAGCAGGCUCCACACUGCCAGUAUAGAGCCUGAUUCGGGUUCUAGCUCCCCAAAGGUGAGAUCAUGACCUGAGCCUAAGCCUAAGUCAAGAGCCCAACUCUUAACCAACUGAACUACCCAGGUGCUCCAGAAAGGCAAAUUGUUUUAAAGUGAAAGAAAUACCUUUAUUUUCUUUUUCUUUUUUUUAAUGUUGUUUAUUUAUUUAUUUAUUUAUUUAUUUAUUUGUGAGAGAGAGAGACAGACAGAGUGUGAGCAGAGGAAGGACAGAAAGAGAGACACAGAAUAAGAAGCAGGUUCCAGACUCUGAGCUGUCCGCACAGAGCCCCGCGCUGGGCUCAAACCCUCCAACCGUGAGAUCACGACCUGAGCGGAAGUCUGACGCUCAACCCACUGAGCCACCCAGGCGCCCCUGAAAGAAAUACCUUUAACAAACCAUGUAAUUUGCAAUUUGAUUUAAAGAAGAGAAGAAAGGCCGUCUAGGGUGCCUGUGGUGUAAACCUGAAUACACUUGUUCUCCAUGCUGGUGGGAAAGAGUACAGUAAAAUCACCGUUGUUCUCUUUCCCCGUUCCAGGCGCCGUGGGCACAACCAGCCAGCGCCUGCCCUCCUCCCCCAGGGUGCAAAUGUUAGUCUGCUGCCCGUGAAUUUAUCUGUUCACAUUUCUAUGAAACUUAAAAGGAACCACAUAAAAAAUAACAUCAUGAAUGCGGAUGCUGUAGUCCUGCCCAGUUGAAAAGCCUGGAAAGGGAAUGCCAAUUCGCUAGAAACCUAGGUGAGUACAAGAACUCGUUAAGGAGUGUGAGACAGUCACUGAGACGGAGGAGAGGGAACCCUGGUU